rnacentral:rRNA from 1 species
AUUGAACGCUGGCGGCAGGCUUAACACAUGCAAGUCGAACGAGUGGCGGACGGGUGAGUAAUGCUUGGGAAUCUAGCUUAUGGAGGGGGAUAACUACGGGAAACUGUAGCUAAUACCGCGUACCAUCGGCUGCGCCCAAGUGGGAUUAGGUUGUUGGUGGGGUAAAGGCUCACCAAGCCGACGAUCCCUAGCUGGUCUUAGAGGAUGACCAGGCACACGGGAACUAAGAAACGGCCCAGACUCCGACGGGAGGCAGCAGUGGGGAAUAGUGAGCAAUGGGGGCAACCUGACGCAGCCAUGCCGAGUGAAUGAAGAAGGCCUUCGGGUUGUAAAGUACUUUCGGUAGCGAGGCGUUAACUACAGAAGAAGCACCGGAUAACUCCGUGCCAGCAGCCGCGGUAAUUC